rnacentral:rRNA from 1 species
AUACGUAGGUGGCGAGCGUUGUCCGGAUUUACUGGGCGUUAAAGGAUGCGUAGGUGGAAAUUUAAGUGGGAUGUGAAAUCCCCGGGCUCAACCCGGGAACUGCAUUCCAAACUGGAUUUCUAGAGUGCAGGAGAGGAAAGCGGAAUUCCUAGUGUAGCGGUGAAAUGCGUAGAUAUUAGGAAGAACACCAGUGGCGAAGGCGGCUUUCUGGACUGUAACUGACACUGAGGCAUGAAAGCGUGGGGAGC